rnacentral:rRNA from 1 species
AUUGAACGCUGGCGGCAGGCUUAACACAUGCAAGUCGAGCGAGCGGCGGACGGGUGAGUAAUGUCUGGGAACUGGCUGAUGGAGGGGGAUAACUACUGGAAACGGUAGCUAAUACCGCAUACCAUAGGAUAACCCAUAUGGGAUUAGCUAGUGGGUGAGGUAAUGGCUCACCUAGGCGACGAUCCCUAGCUGGUCUGAGAGGAUGACCGGCCACACUGGGACUGAGACACGGCCCAGACUCCUACGGAGGCAGCAGUGGGGAAUAUUGCGCAAUGGGCGCAAGCCUGAUGCAGCCAUGCCGCGUGUAUGAAGAAGGCCCUCGGGUUGUAAAGUACUUUCGGUCGGGAGGCGUUACCUACAGAAGAAGCACCGGCUAACUCCGUGCCAGCAGCCGCGGUAAUAC